CUCUCUCCACUUCAUUUAUUACGAAACAGAUAAUGUCUUACUAAAAUAUCAAGAUUACCCAUACCAAACUCUCAAAACUAAUUAGAAUACAAUGGCCAAUCCGUCUUUAGAAUCUGCAAGAAACCUUCGUACAGAAACUAUCUGCUAUUUGUCGUCUUGGUCACAAAAAAUACAACUGUACUUAUUUCAUCCCAGCCGUUGUUCUUAUUGUGUAGUUACAUCAAACGGUAAAAAAUUAAAAAUCACUGACGUGUCACCUUCCUCCUAUUGUUUACUCGUCUGUUCAUCAGCAGGGUCAGGGUGAUUUCACUGUUCACUCCACUAUUCACUCCAUUUACUCCCCUUUCUUUCCUCUUCCCUUCACUCUAAUGUUUGCAUCAACAAUGAUGGUUCAAGAUAAUGAAGAUCAAGAUCAAGAUGACCCCGCACAACUACCCCCUAUGGCUUUCCUGUAGACGUGCUACUGGUUCCUGGCGUCGUCUUGUCGAAUUUAGUCAAUGUUCCUGCGUUUGAUUUCAUUGUCAUACUACGAUCUACCCACCGAUACAUUUGUUUGGACAACAAAUUGAACCUGGGGACAGAACCUAAGUUUGUUGUUCACUCUCUUUGAUCCGUUAAUCAGAGCAUUGUUCAUCAAUUACCUUAUGACAGUACGAUGGAGUACAAAAUAGUUGGUACUGAGUUUGAGACCCAGUUACAAUUUUGUUUCGCGCCACUGUCCAAAGAGAAUCACCACAUUCUUUGAAGAGACCAAUGGAACAAGCAUGGUGUAAUCCCCCGUAAAUUUAUUACAUUUUAUUUAUAUAUUUUGACGUAUAUUUAAUAUAUUUAAAUAAGAAUUUAUGAAUUUUAAAAAUAAAUAUAUAAUUAACGUAUAUUUAUAGAUUACAUUUUAAUAUUUUCAACGAUUUACGAAAUCGAAAAUAAUUUUAGAAUUUUAAGUUGAAAAGAAUUUGAAUUACGAAAAUUGAUUGAAUUUAGAAAACGAUCCUAUUAAGUUUUGGAUUCGAAUCAUAAAAGCAAAAUCCUAAUUUUAGCCCACUUGGGAAAGCCCAACAUUAAAACCCAAGCUCAAAACCUCACCCAAACUAUUUCACGUAAAAGAAAUCAAAGCCCUCAUCUCCCUUUCCUGUUUCACGUAACUCAAACCCUCACCCUCACACUGCAGUUUUCUCUCCUCCCUUCACGUCCGUAGCUCGCCAGCCGCCGGACCACCGUCGCCUCUGUCAGCCGCCGGACCACCGCCGCGCAACGACCGCGAGUUUCCUCGCCACCUCACCACCACCCAGUGUCACCAUGACAGCCGCCGCGCCGCCGACCGGUCUGCUCUGCCGCGCUGCCUUGCUAUCCUGACAGCCUUGUUCUUCCCUCUUGUUCGUAGUUCCUCUUUCCCUUCAUUCUUUCGUGUGCCACCACCAUCAACACACGCCACAACCGACGCUGCUACCACCCAGCACAACCACCUGCCGCCCAGCCGCGACCACCUGCUGCCGCGCCCUACCCGCCGGCCAGCACCUCACUCUCUUCUCUUUUGGUGAAGAAUUCUCUGUAGGCGACUUUUGAAAGUGUUAAAUUGGUCUAUCAGUUUGUUUACACAAGAGGCAAAACUUGGAGGCCUAGUGUUUUACCUGAAUAUGGAUGGCAAGAGGUGGAAACAAGCUAAUGCAAGGGAUGUGGUGGCGGAGUUAGAAGGGAUUUUAGGAGUCAGACCGUGCCUUUGCUGCAAACGAAAAGGUGGCAGGCCCUUUUUUUAUGAAAACUAAAAUUCCAGCUUAACAUAGGUUUGUAAAUGCUAAGCUAUGGCAAGCGAAACUGCUACAAGGGAAUUCAAGACUUCGAAGAUCUUUAUUGGCAAUGAAAAGGGGUUUUGAAUUAGGAUGUCUGUUUUUAUGUAACUCUUCCCAAAAUGUCAAUUACUUUAAACUUAGGCAGUUAUACCCAUGAAUUUUAAUUUUGUUUAA